UUUCUUUAAACACUUCACCAAAAGAUUACUGAAAAAUGAAUUCCAAGCAAUGCGUUGUGAUUUCUGAACUACGCUGUUCUGGAAAGUGAUGGAGGUUUCCAGGUACCAUCAGUUUUCCCCUGAAGAGGCUGGGAAGAAGCGAGCUGCCCCCUCUCCUGCACUGGCACAGGCAGAAAACACCUCUGUCAUGCACCAAGGAAGAAUGUGGGGUACUGCUUCCUCUGAAAAGGAAACAGGAAUAUAUUUCUCUAAGUCUGUGCUUUCACUAAUUACACCCUAACCUGCAUUCCUCGGGUGGAGAAUACAAAAAGCGAAAGCAUUAGGAGCAUCAAUAUUUCCUAUAGAAACAAUUGCCUGUCAAACAAAGCAUCAAAAGACAAAAGGCAAAAACACAGUUUCAGCUCGAAUGCCUUAAUGUCACUCCUUGUCACGCAGCACUCCAUGGCACCCCCUGAAGUACAGUUAGCCGCACUCCUCCCCAUGCCGCACACUUUCUCUGCUGUUGCAGGAUGAAAAUGUGCCCGGCCUGACAAUGAAGCGGCGGAGCCAUCGCACAUUGUUAUGCAACUCGAUGUCUGCAAGGGUGGCUCGUAGCUCCUUCUUUAUUCAGCAAGUGCCAAGUGCAUGUUUAAUCAAUGUCACAGCUCGCCACAGUGUGCGACUGGAGCCGCCGUCAUUCCUCUCCUCAGAUCCGUCUGCCUAAGUCCUGCAGUGCUCCGACGAAUACCUUGGAAUUAUUUCCAGAGCCUCUGAGCGCAGGUGUGUGGCAGCGCUGACACGGCCGCAAGCAGCACAGACUUCCCUGCAUCCCUCCUCAGUCUGGACUAAAAUUACGGAGCGAGGCUGCAUGUAGUUCGCUGCAUUCGGAAUUACAGCACGUCAACGUGAGAAAGCCUCUUCAGGCGGCUGCCACAGAGCGCAUAACCAGACGGCAUGCGUUCUGUUGCUCUACAUCAUCCAAGGAAAAAAAAAUCUUCGUUUUAAUGAGAAUUAGUCAACAGCAAGGAUCAUUACCAGAAGGAUUUUUCGACUACCCUCAGUGCUGGUGGAUUACCGAGGGAGAAGGCCAGUCACUGGGAAGCUUCUGUGAUGUUAUUCCCUUCACUGUUAAACUUCUUCAUCAAGGAACAGUCCGUGCUCAUGCUGGGUCUGUCUGAGAGAGGAGAGCAGCUCCUUCAUGAAGAUAAAAGCCCGGCUUGCCACAGAAUCGACGAGUAAGAAGCAUGUCUGAUGACAUUUUAUUCCUGAUGCAAUGUAGGCUAGCUGCCAGAAUACUGGUGAAGAGAUUUGCAGGAAAAAUGGGGACCUCUGCCAUCACAACACUGGAGGAUGUAAAAAGGAGAGAGGAGAAGGAGGAGAAAGAAGAAUCUAUUCUAGCACUGCUUGGAAUUAUUGGAACUGUGCUCAAUUUAUUUGUUAUUGUUUUUGUGUACAUCUACACUACACUUUGAUGGCAUUUUUGAACAUCAAUUGCAUAGCACAUGGUGCAAAGACCAGCGAUGGUAAGGAUGAUUUCUAAAUCUAAAGCAAGAAAACCCACAGUCUGAAAAGAUUAUCAGAAACAUUCCAGAGCAAAGUGUCUGGCUAAGGGCACUGCAACAACUGCUAAAUGCAUCUGUGAGCCCAGGUAGGGUGCUACGUUAUGUAAAUCAAGACAGACAAUAUUCAGUUUCUCAUGGAUAAGAGAUGAAACCCAAAUAAUGGAAGCUGAGAUGGCACUGUUUCAUUGACAACAACCGUGCAAGGCACAAAAAAAUAUAUAUAUAUAUAAGCAAAAAAACAGUGAAAAGAACCAGAACACAGAAAGAGAUAAAUUAAAUACAUGAAGAUAUAUAUAAGCAAGUCCCAUGAUGCUUACUGUAGUUUUGUGCAGUCUGUCUCUUCAUAGCUGAGACCAGAAAACAGACAAAAGGGUUUUAUUUCUAGAUCACCAUAAUUUAGGCUUGAAAUCUAAACGGAUGUGCAAUAAGUGUGGGAAGAGGAACAAUGUUAUACCAAAAAUUGUAAUAUUAUAAGUAAAAUUUUAACUAUCAACUAUAUUCUGCAGCUUUUUUGUUAGUCUUGUGGAAAGCUGAAAAAAAACUUAGAUUCUAUUGCCUUUACUGAAUCUGUAUUUGAAAUCAUGCUAUACUGACAAUGUGCUUUUCUAAUUAAAACUCCUUUUAAGUGGUGUGAAAAAUUAAGUAAGAGUUUUAGUACUUCUUGUAAGAAAUAUUAAAAAUUAUAAUACUUUAACACAUGUUCUCCAAAGAAAAGAAAAUAAAUACCAUAAAUGACAUUUUCCAUAUCACCAUUUUCAGAAUGUUUUUAAUGCAAGUAAAAUACAACUUCAUAGUUUUACCUCAUGCUUAUUUUCAGGUAAAAUAAAAAGGAUUCGUGGUGUUGUAUGGAAAAUACCUUUAAUAUUUCCCAGAAAAAUAUAUUCUCUCUGGACCAAGUCGUUCCCUGUCUGAACUGUUAAUGGCUUAGGCCCAGAGCCGCAACUCCCAUGAGUACUUCAUGGAACAUACCAUUAGUUUACUGAAAUCCAUUAAACUAUCUUCAUGUAUGGCAUUUUAUUUUAUUUUAUUUUAUUUUAUUUUAUUUUUAUGUAUGCUUUUGAAUUUAAUCCAAAUCUGCAGACAAUCUGAGGUUAUCAAAGCUUUUUUUUUUUUUUUAAUACAUGGACAUAAUCCACGUAUUUCUUCUAAAAGAAAAAGCUACUAUUGACAGUUCAGGAUUAAAAACAUAAUAGAGAAAAUUCACAUCCAGAUAAACAAAGGGGCGGGGAGCUGAUUUUACUACCAUUCAUAGCAUUACAUGUGGCAAAUGAAGAACAAGACAGCUGCAUUUCUGAAAAUCAGCACUGCAAAACUACACGCAGUCUUUCCAUAAAAUGACAGCAAAUAAACAGAACCUCAUCUAAGAGAAGAGCUUAUUACCAUAGUGAACCCCCUAACUGCUUAACCAAGUGAGCCUUCAAAAGUUAUUUCUUAACAAAUAUGUACAUAAAACAAGGUCAGGGAUCUGCAAUAGUAUUUGGCAAUGGUAUUUCAACCAGUUACAGAAACGACACCAUAACUCAGUGAUUUGCAGAAGGAAGAGGUGGAAGAUGGCAUAUUCUGAUUUUGCUACUCUGAGUCAGUACUGGCUCAUCUAGAAGAAGUGAUAAGUAGAGGUGAGGCUGCACUGGAAGAAAGCAUGCAGACAAGAGAACUUAAUCUGUACUCUAUAGCAAUUCUCUGGUACUGUAUACUAAUUUUCAGGCUAUGAAGCACCAGAGCAUUCUGUGAGCCUCAGCUGUAUUGAAAAGAAAUCAUGAAGCUUAUUCAUUUUUCACUUAGGACUAUAUAAUAUAGUCAGUAUUUUCUUUUUUUCUUUCAAUGUACUAUUUAUAUUCGUAUACGCAUGGGCAUCAUCACAUCAAUCUCAUAAUACAAUGUUAUAUGAGAUGGGACUUAAAAUAAGAAGUUACAAGAACAUGGAAACUAACAGAAAGGAAAAUUCAGACAGAAACUACUGUUUAUUUUGAUCCUGAAGUUAUUUUAAGCUUGUCAAUUCUGCGAAAUCAAUAAACACUUUCAUUUCAUGUCA